GAUUUCAGCGGCGGUUUGCGGUGGUUCUUGACUGAGAACGCUCCCAACAGCAUGGGAUCCUCAUCCCGGCGCAGUGUACCAAAAGGGAAUCAAAUCCCUAAAUUAUCUCCUUCAUCCUCUUCUUUUCCGGCAGCGGCGGCAACAAAAGGGACGACGGCAAGUCACUGGUAAUCCGGCGGCUACAUCUCUUCUCCUCUAUCUCGUUUCUCCUUAGCGACGGUGGUGCUCUCUCUGGUGACGGUUUCGGUAGCGACGACAACGCCAGGCAGUAGCGGAGGUUGUGACGAAAGGCAGCGACGACGACUAGGAAAGCCACUAAUGGCGAUGAUGGCGAGUUAUCUUUCUCCAAUUAUGUUAUGCGACCCUUGAUGCGGUGAUUUCCAACCUGAAUUGAAUCUAAACCGUGAAGGUGGAAGGAAGCUACCCCAAUCGAACUCGCUCGGCAAGAACCACCCAUUGUAAUGGUAGUUCGAAAGUUCUCAUACGAAUCCUCAAGAAGAGUCUUGCCAUAUCACCAUAUGCAAUGAAACUUAGUUCAUCUAAUGCUCCUCCAACAACAUUCUGGAACCAUAUAUUCUGCCACCAUUGAUGUCAUUGAUAAUGUGUAAGUGUAGUAUUGGAAAGAGGCAAGUGUGGUGGCUUGAAGCUCUUGAAGCAUAUAAGUUGUUCUACCUUUUGAAUAAAACAAUCAUGAAAGUAGAGCCGAAUAAGACUUUCUUUAUCUGAAUUUGUAUACAUUUUAUUGGUACAAAGUCCAAACAGAAUUCCCAUAUCUCAACUUAAUGUUUAGUGAAUUUCAGUUCAUGUAUUCCUAUACUUUUUUCUCAAUAUGAGUGUAUAGUAGCAAUUAAUAUUCCAUUUGAAAAAAUGAUGUAUGAUU
rnacentral:sRNA from 1 species